ensembl:lncRNA
CAGGGGCCUCUUCCCCAGGGGCCUCUUCCUCAGGGGCCUCUUCCCCAGGGGCCUCUUCCUCAGGGGCCUCUUCCACAGGGGCCUCUUCCACAGUAGCCUCUUCCUCGCCAUCUGUUGACUGUUCGGUCUCAUGAUGGUCUGGAUCAAAAUCAGGAUCGUUGUCUUCUAUUUCUGAGACUUCCUCCUCUAUUUCUGGUUGAACUUCAAUCACCUCUCAUCAGUUUGAAAAAAAAAGGUCAACUCAUUGUGUUCAUAGUAAAAUAAGAGCAAUGCACAAGCAAGCUAUAUAUAGGGGAUCUGUGAGAAGAUAUCAUACAUUUUGUAUUGAAAGUGUGGUUCACGUGUGGGGAUAGGUACAUAAGCACGGGAAUGAGAGGACACCUAAUUGUUCAGUCUGAAAGGGGUUCACGUGGGGUGGAGUGUGUGUGUGUGUGCGUGCCUGAACGUGUAUGUGUGUGCGUGUGCAUGUGUGUGUGUGUGUGUGUGUGUGUGUGUGUGUGUGUGUGUGCCUGUGGUGGUGGUGGUGGUGGAUUUGCGGUUGUGUACUAUCUGAUGGAUGAACACAAUCUAGGAUCACCCGUUCAUAGGGUUAGGGUUAGGGUUACACCACUGGUGUUACAAACUAAGUUGACUAAACAACUUAAAAUUCAAUGAAAGUAGUGAUCAGCAAUUGUAUGUUCAAAUGCCUAGUGUGGAGGAUAUCAUAAGCCCUCGAGACAAAUAAAUGUAAAACACAAUAUUUAUGAUUGAUUGAAAUGGAAAUCGGUCAGAUUUGACCCGAACACGACAGGAAGGUUAAAGCCUCAUACAUGUUCACAAUCACAUUGAAUUUGCGUUGCGUUUCUCUGGGUCGUUCACAAACUAGUUAGGCUACGCCCUCCCCUACUCAGUUCUGUUUGCUUUGCAUUGGUGGAAGUGGUUAAGUAGAGCCUUCAGAUUGGACGGUUUGACUUACUUAUAGUUACCGUCAUGUUUUGUAUUUAUUUUUUUAACAUUCUGGUUUUAUAGGGACACACAUUAACAAAUUGCUCGUACAGGGGAUUGAUAAAGUUCUAUCUCUUGAACAGAAAGAAACACUUACUUUACACACUUUACCACACCACUUUGGCCUACUGAAUGCCACAGAUAUAUUUUAAGCAUUGGACCAAAUGCCUCAUAAAUAUAUAAUUAUGUUUUUGCACGUUUGCAACGUUUAAAAGUUCAGGAGAAAGUAUAUGCCUCUACUGGUGUUGCUUAAGCCAAUAGCCUUUUGAGGCAGUGUUGUUUCUGAAUAUAUUAGUGUUAAGGGCCAAUAAUGCUUAUCAUACAUUAGUCACCAUGUCUGUGGACACAUUUGUAUGCAGUCAAAUGUUAAUAUAUGUGCCCCCCCCCAAAAAAUCUCACUCAGUUCAAAACUUGAGAGCCCUGUGGUCGACAUAGAGGUGACUCUGGCAAAAGCUACAUGUUUAUUUAAUCAACAGAGAUCUUGCUAUAACAUUUAAAUAUCCACCCAUAACCUACUUGUUCAUUCAUUGUAUUGUUCAUUCACUACAUUUCUGAGAG